rnacentral:sRNA from 1 species
AGAAAAGUCUCUCCUGGUCUUGGGAUGGAGGUCACACGAAGCCUCCGCAAGGCAAGGACUUUUGACACAACUCAAGGCUCAGAACAGCAGGAUCCAGCAACUCUUCCACAAGGUGGCCCAGCAGCAGCGGCACCUGGAGAAGCAGCACCUGCGAAUUCAGCAUCUGCAAAGCCAGUUUGGCCUCCUGGACCACAAGCACCUAGACCAUGAGGUGGCCAAGCCUGCCCGAAGAAAGAGGCUGCCCGAGAUGGCCCAGCCAGUUGACCCGGCUCACAAUGUCAGCCGCCUGCACCGGCUGCCCAGGGAUUGCCAGGAGCUGUUCCAGGUUGGGGAGAGGCAGAGUGGACUAUUUGAAAUCCAGCCUCAGGGGUCUCCGCCAUUUUUGGUGAACUGCAAGAUGACCUCAGAUGGAGGCUGGACAGUAAUUCAGAGGCGCCACGAUGGCUCAGUGGACUUCAAUCGGCCCUGGGAAGCCUACAAGGCGGGGUUUGGGGAUCCCCACGGUAGGUGUUUCUUGUGGGGACAGAGGCAGGGGAGGAAGAGGGACCCUCAGAAGUGGCCCUGCCUCACGGAGUGGCCUCU